rnacentral:rRNA from 1 species
UACGAAGGGGGCUAGCGUUGUUCGGAAUCACUGGGCGUAAAGCGCACGCAGGCGGAUUGAUAAGUCAGGGGUGAAAUCCCGGAGCUCAACUUCGGAAUUGCCUUUGAUACUGUUAAUCUCGAGUCCGGGAGAGGUGAGUGGAAUUCCUAGUGUAGAGGUGAAAUUCGUAGAUAUUAGGAAGAACACCAGUGGCGAAGGCGGCUCACUGGCCCGGUACUGACGCUCAUGUGCGAAAAGCGUGGGGAGCAAACAGGG